rnacentral:rRNA from 1 species
UACGUAGGGGCAAGCGUUGUCCGGAAUCAUUGGGCGUAAAGAGCGUGUAGGCGGCCAGAUAAGUCCGCUGUGAAAACUCGAGGCUCAACCUUCGAGCUGUCGGUGGAAACUAUUUGGCUAGAGUCCGGAAGAGGAGAGUGGAAAUUCCUGGUGUAGCGGUGAAAUGCGCAGAUAUCAGGAAGAACACCCGUGGCGAAGGCGGCUCUCGUGGACGGAACUGACGCUGAGACGCGAAAGCGUGGGAGCGAACAGG